UACGGAGGAUGCGAGCGUUAUCCGGAUUUAUUGGGUUUAAAGGGUGCGUAGGUUGUUUUUUAAGUCAGCGGUGAAAGUUUGUGGCUCAACCAUAAAAUUGCCGUUGAAACUGGAAGACUUGAGUGCGCGAGAAGUAUGCGGAAUGCGUGGUGUAGCGGUGAAAUGCAUAGAUAUCACGCAGAACUCCGAUUGCGAAGGCAGCAUACCGGCGCGCAACUGACGCUCAUGCACGAAAGCGUGGGUAUCGAACAGG
rnacentral:rRNA from 1 species